GGGAGGAGAGGGGAGGGGGGCGUGGCCGCAGCUCGGGAGCCCCAGAAGGAGCCGUACCCAGGAUCUCCGCGCCCGCUGCUGCGGGGAGGGCACGGUCCGAGGGGCUUGGAGAGCGGCGGGCGCCGGGAUCCCAGCCUGCCGUGACCUAUUGCCCGCACUCUUGCCUGACUGUCCAUUUUCCGCCCUGGCUACUGGGCCUCCCACGGAGUUGUGUCCUCAGGAGUUCAUCAGUUACCUGGAAUUGCAAAACCGCUCGUUACAAGUCAGACCGAGGCAGAUAGCUGUUUCUCCAGACAAGAGUCUGGAAUUCCCCAAGGAGCUUACCCUCUAGUUUUAACGAUAGGCUAAAGGUCUUGAGACAACACUGAGGAGGAGUCCCUAAUUCUGCCUGAGGGGGAGUCAGCUGGCUAUCUGAGAAAAUGUGACCGUCCAAAGCAAGAAACUUGAGGGCAUGGGUCACCCCAGCCCUGGCAUCUGCCCAGAACAUGAGAAGGAAGGAACAGUGGUCCUCCAGCAAUGUCACAGGGCCUGCGUGGAUCACCCAGCUGUGUCGGUUAACCUGAACUCCAUCUGCGGAAAUUCGAGGAGGAAAAUACAAAAGUCUUUACAUGAGCACUGAGAAGGCAGACGCAGGCAGAAACCUAUGGGAGGUGGUGAAGCCCUCUACUGUCCUGACCCCACAGUUCCUGUCCCAUGACCAGGGCCAGCUCACCAAGGAGCUGCAGCAGCAUGUAGUCAGUGCCAUCCCCCAUGCGAGUACCUAAGGAAGCUAACUUAGGUACCACUGGGCUUUCUUGGCUGAAGUCCUGGGAGAGGAAACAAGUGUUUUCCAGCUGGGGCAUCACCCGUGACCAGUUGUCAUUUGCAUGGAGCUGGGAUUCUGUUCUGGGUUAGACACCCAGGAGUGGGAACACUGAGUUGUAUGUGAGCAGAUGUGAUUCUGCACUGUUUGACCUGGGCUGGAGCACAGUGGCAUGAUCUCGGCUCACUGCAACCUCUGCCUCCCGGAUUGAAGCAAGUCUCCUGCCUUGGCCUCCUGAGUAGCUGGGAUUACAGCUGCCGUGAACAACGCUGUGCCAAGACCAGCUCAGCCAUGGAGACCCCAACCCAGGUGGCAUUGAAGGAAUUAAGAAACAGCCACAGCGAGAGAGAGAGAGAGAGAGAGAGAGAGAGAGAGA